UACACUACAGAUUCCCAGGAUGCCAUAGCUUU
rnacentral:piRNA from 1 species